AAGCACAGGAACGAGCAUAGAGACAAGAAGCUCGUGUAUAUAAAUAGCUAGUUAGGGUCGAUGGACAAGCUAAAGAGGCGAAUGCGAAUCGCAAGGAUUCAUUCACCUGCACCGAUCGCCAAUCUUCGUGAAGGAAAAAUGUAUCUCCUUCACCGAAUUCCUGGUAUAUACGGUGUCAUUUCAGUCAUUUCAGUAAAGAGUGUGUGUGAAUUCAAUGUGGAAAGAGAGUGUGGAUUGUUCGAAAUCAAGACGGAACGAAGAAUAACAAACUAUGAAACGAGAAGUGAAAAUCUAAUAUUUGAGUAUAAAUAAUUCGAAUUCGAUGAUCUUUAAUCUAUAAGCUUCGACUUUUAGUCAUCGAUGAAUCAAAAAUGAUUCGAAGACAAAAUUUCGAAUUGAUCGAAUACCAAAAAUAUGCGCAAUCGAAUCAUAAAAUGUGUUUAUUUCGGUAAAAACUCUGUUUGGUUAGUACUUUUUCUUUUUUUUCUUUUUUUUUUUUGGUACUUAAUGCGCUUCAUGAGUCAUUUUUCCGAGAGAUGGAUGAGCUAAAGCGAAAUAACUUUGAUAUAACGAAUGGAACACGUGAGAAGAAAUCUUAAAUUCCGUGACAUUUUCGCCAAUCGUAUUCUUCUUUUUCUUUUCCCCAUUUCGUUCCAGUGAUGCGACAGAUUGAACGAAACAAGUCGAGAAGUCGUUCAAUCCAAGUCGAAUCGAUUAAUCGAUUAAUUUCAUCAUUCAACCAUAUCUUGAAUUCCCGUUACACGUUUAUGCAUAAUCUAUGAAAAUUGAUCGGUAAAUUAUAGAUACGAAAAAAUUAUAGAUACAUUAAUCAUCGAUCGAAAGAUCUUACGAUUUUACUUUUUCAAUUGUGUUUUAACGCGUGAAAAGCCAAGUGACGACGAAGUUCUAUACACGUGUCGCGAAGAGAUAUUCAUUCUAUCGAAUAUAUACGUAUAUACGUGGACGUUGGCGAACGUGCAUUGUGCCUGGGUGAAAUGCGAGCAAAUAAAUAGUUGGAUGCCGUGGUGGCGAAAGUUUCGCGUGACAGAAAGCUCAGAUAAGGCUACGAGGAAGCAGCGUUUAUCGAAGAUCAGACGACAGACGACAUAUAUAUAUAUAUAUAUAUAUAUACCGCCACGCGAGUAGGUCAUGAGUAGAUUGUGAACAUAGCGGAAAAAUUAGCGCUGUUUCGUCGAGAAAAAAUUAAGUAGAAAUUGAAUUUUUGUUGAUCUUCAAAGAAAAUCAAAAUAUCUUUUAAUAAAAUUAACAGAAUUUGUAAUGGAAUUACGAUAACAAAAUUGAUGAUCUCUUUAUAAGAACGAAACAAUGACGAAUAAUUGCAUCUUCUCGUUGGAAUGACGAAGGCGUGACAACGUUCGUAUUGCUUCACGUCGAAUUAACGCCACUUUACGCGGUUUCCAGCGGCACCGAAGUGGGCAUAAAGAGACGGUAAAAAUACGACGAUUAUUUUCGGAACGAGUCAUGGAACCCGGUUGCUGCACCAAUCAAGAACUUCUGGCUCUGGCGAAGCUGCUUCAACUAUACACAUGGGUCGCUUGAUCAUUUGUUCAUCCAUGAACGAAGAAAGUGUGCGUGAACGACAGAUCCUUGAAUAUCGCAGCGGUAGCCCGACUUCGACUUCGAUCUGAUCAUAUUUUCCUCGUCAGGUGUUGGCCUAACGACCUCGCAUAUACCUAACCUAAUUUAUCUUUUCUGUUUUUUUAUCAUUAAUUAAUCACGAAUUUUAUCACGCUUUGUAAACAACGUGUCAAUAAUUUUUCACGAUGUCUUCGAACAACUAUUACGAAAAAUUGCUUAAAACAAUCGAUUGAAAUACUUUUGGCAAGUAAGACAACAUGGUUUACGUAACCCAUGGAAUAUGGUCAAUAAUUGAAGUUGAGAAUCGAGGUAAAAUCAGAGAACUGCUUUCGUUGCGAAUAAUUAAUAUCGAUCGCGGUUCAAUCCGCGAAUGUUUGAUGUUUGUUCAAGUUGGUGAUCCCAUAUAUUAUUGAGUGUAAAAUGAAAAACUUUUUCAAAACUUCGACUCGGAUACACGAUAAAUGCUAUUGUUAUCCGAAUCUGAAAGGGGGCGCUUUUUUACGAGCGGUCAAAUAAUGUCAAGUAAUUCGUACAUACUACUACUAGAUGUUAUAUUUACAUUUAUGCGUAUGAAUUUCACAACUUCUUUUUUACAGAUGAAAAAGAUAUUUUUUACAAUUACUAAAUUUGAUUUCAACUUGAAUACUUGAUUCUUUGAAAAAUGACUAGUAAUUUAAAAUUAAUAAUUCAAUAAUCGAAAUUUUUCAUCUCGAUCUUUAAUAAUUUUAACCUUUUCAUAACCUAUAUAUAUCAUAGCAAAUUGAAAUAUUUUUUUCGACUUUCUAAGAGAUAUUCAUUUAACUUUGAAUUUUCAAUGUCACGUUACUUUACCUUACUUAAAGACAGCACAAAGAAAAAAGACUAUUGUUCGCAAAAGUUUGUUCCACAGUAUUCGUAUGUAUGCAUAUUACGCAUGUAUACAGAUACUUAUGUAUGCAUAUAGAAGUUUAAAAUGGUGCAAUUUCCAUAGUGAGAGGAUUCUUUGGAACGAUGGAAAUACAAGAGAGUGACGUAUAAAAAGAAAUUAGAAAGAAGCACACUUGUGCGUGCAUCUACACACAAGGAUGAUGGGCCGAAGGAACAAAAGAUAAGAGAAGAAAAACAAUGUGCUUUCUAACGGGCUAAUGUCGUAGUACAUAUAAAGUAGAGUAUGGAAACUUGGCUGUGUUUUCACUCCGCGACUUGAACGAUCAGCAAAUAUCUCUCGGCAAACAUUUCCUUUUUAACACAUCAUAUUCUUUCGUAGAAGCAACGAUUUAUGCUCGUGCAUUUCUUUCAACGUUACGUUUAUUUUGAUCGCAAAAAUCUCUAACAAGUAGCAAAGUUGGCGCAUGCUAUUAGUACAUGCGCACACUUAACCUAACCUAACCUAAUUUGCACAUAGUUAUUCGCGAAUAAUAAUAGAUAUCGUACGAUUCGAUUUCCGGGAUAAAAGUCUGACAUUCACAUCCGUUUAUAAUAAUUAUAAUAGCAACAAGAAAGAGGAAACCGAGUCAUCGAAAUUUAUGAUUCGUGUCUUGCCUUAUCCUGAUCAUAAACGGAAGGAAUCGUAAACCAAGCGAGACCGAAACUGCAUAGAAAUCGUACAUCUGAGAAAAGAUACCGGUAGAGUCACGUUCGUCUCAUAAAAUCGACCCACGUCGCGGUGCUUAGCACAGCCACACCACAGUGUGCUCUUCUAAACGAGAGAAGACGAAUCAAUUGAAAUUCAUUAAAGUUCAACCACAAACCGAGAUCUCGCGUAUAUGAACCGAGGAUCGGACAGAGGGCGCUCGUAGUUCCAUCAAUCGGCUAUAUUAUUCGAACAGAAAUUGUUAAUUCCGUAACAAUGAACGUCGCGUACCAGUGUUAAUUUUUAUCUCGUGCAAUAAGGUUCUCGACACUUGAGGAUGGUUGAGUCACCACGUAUAAGACAUCUUCUACGAUAAGUAUAUACAUAUACAUAUACAUAUAUAUAUAUGUGUAACGAUAGUAACGAAACAGAGAAAGAAAGGCAGAAAGAUUUCACGCGGUCAGCGUCAAUAUGUGGCAUUAAACAUGCUGAAAAAGGAUGUUAAAGGAUAAUGGGGAUAAUGUCGAAAGACGUGGAUGAGGCAAAGCGAGCUAGUCGUUUCUCACGUGGUUGCUUACAAUGGCUAAUAGGUACGUACACAUAUAUGUGCGCAUAUGUAGAUUCGUGUGUACAAUCAGGGAAGAAGAAAACCAGGAACCAGACGGCUGUCUGGCCGCUUUGCGCCGCUUGUUCCACGGGAAAACUUUACUAAUGAAAGUAGCGUAAUUGGUCGGUAACUAAAUCAUGUUGUAUGGUCAAAAUCACGAUUCUCUAAUUUUCGUUUAAAUUACCUCGAUAAGCAGACUUUCGAGAAUGUUAACUUACUUCAUCGCGAAUGCACGACCAUCAUGCGUUAUUAUUCUAAUUCGUUGAAAUUGGAAUAGAAAUCAAAUAACAUCGAAUUGAAUUUAAAUUUUGCAAUUAACUUCAACAUGAGAAAUAUACAUAUAGGAAGAUAUAGAAUAAAGAGUUAAAAAUUAGAAGUAAAAAAAGAAAAAAUUAGCGGAAAGAGGAAGAAGAAGGAAAAAAGAGGAACAACUGUUCGAUAAAGAAGACUGAAAAAUGAUGUGUAGGCUGUACGUCUGAGUAGCCACAGACGUUAUUUGUCUAGCUUUUACGCUUCAAUGGAAGGAAUCUUAGUGAGGAGAAUUUCGUGCUGCUCUUUUUGAAUUUUAAAAAUAGAAAAUUGAAAAAAGUAGAAAAUAAAAAAAUAAUCGAAACAUCGAUACUCGGAUGAUAGAACGAUUAGUAUACCGAUAAGUAGAUAAAUCUAAACGAGGUUAACACACAUGCAUACGCAUAUAAGAAUACACGAGCACGUAUGUACAAUAGGUCUGAUUAACGAGGCCUGUAAUUAAUUGCUCUUCUAUCUCACAAACUCUACCGGAAAAGAGAAACGCGAAUCCUUGGUAUUUUUAUCGGCAAGUAGCGUUAAUUACCGUGGUAAAAUUACCGAUAUCAUCUUGAUAAUCCAGUUAAAACAUUACCGACUGUAAAAUUAUUUCCACCGGAAGCUCGAUUCGUCGUGCGUGCGAUUUCCACCAUUUUUUUUAUCCCAACUGAACUUUUACAUUGAAAUAUGACUCUUGAAUUUUUUCUAAUUCAUUUUUACUUACUUGUUCGAAAUCUGAAGAGAAAAAAAAACAGUGAAAAAGAAACACGAGAGAAUAAACCUAGCCGACUUAUCUAUCAACAGAGGUAAAGGACUAGCUGAUAAGAUAACGUAUCGCGAAGGAUAAACAGUGGCUCAUGACAAUAGUAGUCGUGCAUCCCGAAGCUUCCGGUUUCGCCCAUGAAAAUAAAGCAUCCCGUAAUGUGAGAUAACGACACACAUUUUCGUAGAUGUGGUUUUAUCGCUUUGCUUAUUAAAUUAAAAAAAAAAAAAUAAAAAAGAGGAAGGAAAAAAAAAAUCGAGGAAGAAGAAAAUCUAGCGUACGUCCUCGACGUCACGAUUAAUUAAGGACAGAAUCGCGUGACCGGAAACGAAUGAGAACCGUACCGAGUGAACUAUGUAAGCAUAAUCCCUCUGUUUCCAUUUUGCACCACGAUCCCGUAACGUUCUAGACCGAGAAAAAAAAGAUUUAGGAAUAUCGAUUAUUGCGUGUAACUAACAAUUUCAGUCGAAUCAAAGGUAUAUAUAAAAAAAAAAAAAACGAAAGCGAAAGCGAAGCGUGGCGAGUAUCGAAAUAGGCGUGAAUUAAUUUCGAUUACUUUCGAUCACGUAGGAGGAUUCUAUUCGAGUGGAAAAAAUGGCAGGAUGACGUGAAACGUUUGAAAGAAACCAUCAAAUUUCGAUUAUGCGUGCCCAAAAACAGAUACUUACAUACACACACACACAUAUAUAUAUAUAUAUAAGCAAAAGAAUCGAUGAGUUAUCGCAUAAGAAAAAUUUGCUGAACGCGUAACAUUUUGCAGGUUAUUUCUUAUACGAGUCGAGAACCAAGUGAGAAGAGGAGUACGAGACCACGAUAGAAAUUGCGCUCGAUAAAACACGCUUCCUAUUAUUUUUGUGUUUCUUUAAACGGCCGUCAAAAGAAUUUUUAUUACGACACAAUGCGCCACUCGAAGAGAAAUUUAUCUCUCUUGUGUACCGGUUGAAUGCUCGUAGACGGUGCAUUUCGGUCCGUUUAUGAGCACAGAAUGGGAUUUACAUACACAUGCAGAGACACGCGAGAUCCCGCCACCCCUAUUUAAUUCCAUAUUACCCUUCCUGAAAGGAACAAAAAGAAAAGAGAGAGAGAGAAAAAAAAAAAGAACGGAUGUGAGAUCCGGUUCGAGGUCGAUUUACGUGUUCAAGACUCGAGAGCGUGUGACAUGACCAUUAAAACACAAUAGAUUAUUUCGAAUCGAGGGAACUUUUAUAUAUGUGAUUAAUUUCAUGAAAAUGCACGUGAGAAUUUGUAAUUGACUUCCUUAGUUUUGUCAAAAAGCAAAUAGUCAAUCCGUUGUCAACUUCGAUAUGUAAUCAAAAUCUAUUUUUAUCAUAAAAGAUCGUACAAUUACGAUAUAUGUAUAUUAUAUAUACGCAAUAUGUAAAAAGAUACAAUUCUCUCUUCGCUCGAUAUUUAAUCGCGAUGAAUGCAAUAGAGCAUGAUAGAUAAUAUAUAUUUAUAGUUGUAAUAAUAAGUAAAAUAAAAAUAAAUCCUCAUUGCAGUGUAAUAUUUUAAUUUUUAUAUAGAGUAUUCGAUAAACAAUUUCAACGUCGAUACUAUUGUCUAUAGAAAUAUAUCCAUCAAAAUAUUACAUCAUUUUUAAGUAGAUAUAAUAGAUAUACGUAAUAUAUUAUAUAUUCUCUUAUAUGAGAAAUUCCAAUAAAUUGUACGUAUACUAUAUAUAUAUGUAUGUAUAUAUGUGUGUGUGUAUAUAACAGCGAUGACGAUACGUGCCAAUUGGAAGUGCAAAAGUAAUCUGUAGGUCAACUUGCUAGGAAAUUCAUUUAAUAAAGAAGAACGAGACAAGGUGCCGUUACGAUUGAUCGAGGACGACUUCUCGAUUGCUGCUUUCAUUUGUAUUGAGCGCAGCCUAACUCGACGAUCCAAUAAUCGAUAGAUUCAUAUAAAAUUUUUUUUUUCACUGUCAAACAUUUUGCUUCUCUUUUUAUUUUAUUUUUGAGUUUGAUGAAAAAGAAUUUUCGCUAAAAUGAAUUGUAGAUAACGAAGUUAUAUACCAUAUAUAAUAUAAUAUAAUUUUACUUUUGAUUAAAUUUAUCUCAUAUAAUGGAUUAUCGAACAAUGAUUAUGUAAUAUCUUCGAGAACGAAAUCGAUAGAUAUUGUUUUUACAAUUCUCUUUCCCAAUAAAAUUCUUAAGGCAAUAAGCAAAUGAAGGAUGACAAUACCAUUUCUUUUUCCUCUCAAAAAACAGAUUCGCGUAAAAAUAAAAGUAAAAACGAUACAAUGCACAAGAACCGCAAAUUUGUAAAUAUAAAAAGAACAAUCGCGACGAGUAUACGAUUGUGAAGUAAAAAAAAAUGAUCGAUAAAUUUAAUUACAUGCAUCAUUCAUUCUUUCUCCGACUGCUGAAAUUCUUAACUUGGUAUCAUCAUCACAAAAUCGUCAAAUCGUUGAUACAAAGAUAAAUGAUAAGAUAAUAAAAGAUGGAUGAAAGAUCGGUAAAUAUAUCGAGAGAUCUGGAUUAUGAUUAACAAUAUGUUUGCAGUUAUAUAUCAUUUAUAUCAAACAAUUUUUCUACUCUGCAAUUAUAAUUUUAUGAAAACAUGCGAUUUUGAGCGUUAUAAAAAUUCCCAUCUCAAAAUAUUUAGUUAAAAUAUUAUGAGUAUCCGUUUGUCAUAGGUUCGAUUUAAUGAUUUUUUAAUUCGACAUACAAUAUUGAUAUUUUGAUAUUCAUGUAUUCCUCGUUAUUAUAAUUAAUAAAUUAUAACAAUUAAUAUUCUUUUUUCUUCUCGUAUAAAAAUAAAAAACUAAAAUAUAUUAAAACAGAUUAUGAUUCGGUGAGAUUAAAGUAUGACCUAUAUUUAUUAUAUUUUCUAUAUAUGUAAUUAAACGUUCGAAUGAAAGUUUACCAAUAUCGAAAAAUCAAAAAUAAAGAUAAAUAGAAGAUGAUACGAUGUAUUCGAUAGAUUAUAUGCAUAGAUUAAAGAUAACUUCCAGAAGAUACAUAGGAUAGUAAGAUACAUGGAAGAAGGAAAACCUUUCUCUCACAUAAUGAUUAUUCAAGGCAUUCCAUGUGUCAUCCGACAACAGCAUCAUUUUAUGUAACACGAUUCGUGUAAUCGUGAUCCUUUUUCGCCGGUGUAACUAACACACAGGGAGGCUCAAAGAUGGCCACUUCUGUCUUUCGCUUAUCAAAGUUUUCCACACGUUAUUUAACUGACUAUACUUCAUUUCUAUUACGAUCUUUUAAUUGUCCGAUCAAAAAUAAAAUAAGGAUUAAUUAUCGGUACUUACGAUAACGACGAAUCCCGUAAUAUUCCAGUGAUCCGCUUCGGAAGCACUUCUGUAUCAAAGACAAAUCCACCACCUGAUCUCAAAUUUUCGAGAUCGAGAAGCUCGUUUCACUAAUUGGAUCAACUUUACACUCAAUUGUUUUAACGAAAAAUAGACAGAUGCUUGGCAUACGAUUCAAAAAUCAACAAAAACACUGUGUCGGAAGAGAAAUCGUAAAUAAUACGCGAAGCACACGACUCAUCCGUAAAUUCGAUCGGUUUCGAUCAGUUGUCGUAAACACUGGCCGCCAUAUUCCUUCAGCACCUGUCAAUAUCAGCGAAUAUUACUGCCAUCUUGCGGCAAUUGUAUCGAUGUAAAUAUUAACGCCAUCUAUCAGUAUUCAUACAUAAUAUCGUUUCAAUUUAAAUUAUUUAUCUACUGUCGCUUAUUUUAAUAAUUAUUUUAUCGACGUAAAAAAUAUUGUUGAAUAAUUACAUUAUUUUUUACCUAAAAAUAUCCAUAUAUAGUUUAUUAUUGACAUUUGAAGCAUGUAUAUUAAUAUCGAUACAAAAAGGAUUGUCAAAUGUUUGAUUGAAUAAAUAAAAGUAUACAAUGAUAAGAUAAUUAUGGUAUAAACAAUCACAUGUCAGAAAGAGGGAUAUACGUACAUAUAAUAAUUAAAUAUGUACUUUCUUAUAAUAAUUGGAAUAUAAAUGCAUUUUGGAACUAUUCGUGUUACGUAGUAUUAGCGAUAAAUGAUGAAAGGAUGAUAUGAUAAUUAAGAAUAAUACUAAAAUAAAUAAAAA